CAAUAGCGUAUAUUUAAGUUGCUGCAGUUAAAAAGCUCGUAGUUGGAUUUCGGGUGGGAAUGGCCGGUCCGCCGUUUCGGUGUGCACUUGCUACGCCCACCUUGCUGCCGGGGACGUGCUCUUGAGUUCACGCUCGGGACACGGAGUCGGCGAGGUUACUUUGAGUAAAUUAGAGUUUUCAAAGCAGGCCUACGCUCUGAAUACAUUAGCAUGGAAUAACACGAUAGGACUCUGGCCUAUCUUGUUGGUCUGUAGGACCGGAGUAAUGAUUAAGAGGGACAGUCGGGGGCAUUCGUAUUUCAUUGUCAGAGGUGAAAUUCUUGGAUUUAUGAAAGACGAACUACUGCGAAAGCAUUUGCCAAGGAUGUUUUCAUUAA
rnacentral:rRNA from 1 species